GAUGAACGCUGGCGGCGUGCCUAAUACAUGCAAGUCGAGCGAACAGACGAGGAGAUUUCUCCUCUGACGUUAGCGGCGGACGGGUGAUGAACACGUGGAUAACCUACCUAUAAGACUGGGAUAACUUCGGGAAACCGGAGCUAAUACCGGAUAAUAUAUUGAACCUCAUGGUUCAAUAGUGAAAGACGGUUUUUCUGUCACUUAUAGAUGGAUCCGCGCCGCAUUAGCUAGUUGGUAAGGUAACGGCUUACCAAGGCAACGAUGCGUAGCCGACCGCAGAGGGAGAAGGGACACACUGUAACUGAGAAUGAGCCCAGACUCCGACGGGGAGACGCAGCAGGGAAUCCUACGCAAGGGAGGAGAGCGGAACGGUGCACAACCGAGGGAGUGAUGAAGGUGUACGGCCUGUAAAACGAUGUAAGUAUGGGAGAAGGAAUGUGUAAGUAACUAUGCAGAUAUUGACGGUACCUAAAGAGUAAGCACCGGCUAACUACGUG
rnacentral:rRNA from 1 species